rnacentral:misc_RNA from 1 species
UCGUGCCGUACGACGUUCAGUACGUUUUCGAAGCUGAGGAAUCCAUUUCGACGAACAGUUCGCUGAGUCCUGGAUUCAAAUCUUGCGAUCAAGCAUACGACAACAAUUCCUUGGCGUGCAGUUGCGUGGACUGCGAAGCCAGUUGUACCAUAACGGAAUUACACGUGGACGGUGCAACUUCCGAAGAUUUUUCCAUCAACCGAUGGAGUAUUCUGGUUGGAAUCGUCGUCGUCCUCGUCAGCGCUGGUACCUCCGCGUCGAUAUUUUUCUGC